UCCUCUGUCUGGGCCCCGCCCACUCUGGCCACGUGACUCACUUCAACCAAUACAGCAGCGCACAAGGGAUGCUGCGCCAAUUCUGGGGCUAAGCCUUCCUUAAAGGUGUUUUUGCACUUUGGGGAACCCUGAGCUGCCAUGUUAAAAGUCCAGCUACCUGGAGAGAUGCCAUGAAGAGGUCACGUUGAGCGGGAGAAGCCCUGAGGCUACACAGGGAGAGAAGGAGAGACAGACGGACAGAGAGAGAAGAGAGGCAGGGAGCCCCCGCGGAGCCCUCUCCAUCACUCCAGUUGUCCCAGCCUUGGGACAGGGGUUGCUGACCCAGAGCCUCCGUUCUGAAUGACCUGAAGCUCACGAUACACAAAUUCCCACUCGACGAGCGUCUUUUCUGCAGAGAGAGGGUACUGAAGGUCAGCGGCUGCAGUAGCACGUGACUCAUCCUUAUAGAGGGAGAUGUGUGCUCAGCCGCUCAGUCAUGUCCGACUCUGGACCCCACAGACUGCAGCCCGCCAGGCUCCUCUGUCUCCAGGAUUUUUCAGAGCACAGACUCCAGGUUCUAGGGCUCAGGAGCCGUGGCACGCAGGCUUUAGUUGCUCCCCAGCGUGUGGAAUCCUCCUGACCCAGGGAUCGAACCUGUGUCCCCUGCACCGGUAGGGGAGCCACUGUACCACCAGGAGAAACAACAGCCCCACGCUUGUCUGCAAAGUGCGGGCAGCCCUCCCCAUGGCUCCUCUGCUCGUCCUGCCCUGGCCGUGGCCAUGCCUGCCUGCCCUUGAGGAAGGAGGACCAAGGCACUAAGGUGUUCUCAGUGGGGCUGAGUGCCUCUGUCAGCUCAGGGCAACACAAGACCCUCAAACUCGGGGGCUCAAAUCAGCUGCUCCUUUGUCCUACGGCUCAGCUGGGUGGUUCUCCAGUCUUGGGGUCUUCUCACUCGUUGGUGGGAAGCCCCGGGAGUACGCAGCUUUGCUGGCUCUGUCUGUCUCUCCCCCAACUCUUGGGCCUAGACUGGACUGACUGGGCUGACUCCCUGACUCUCCACGUGCUUAGCCCAGGCAGGCUGGCCUGGACUUCGUCCUGGGAGUGGCAGGGUGCCACCACCCCCUCCCUGUCUGGUUCUUUGCAAAGCAGCUAUGAAGAAUUUUAGAGGCAGGUACCACAGGGGCCUGUGAGUCAAUUCUUAGAAUAGGACGUGAUCAUCUCUUCUGGGAAGAAGGGUUUGCAGCCACUGCUGAUUCCUGACUGAGUCAUGGGUGCCUUUAUCAGGAGGCGGGAGAGCACGGCUUAGGUGCCUGUGAGCUGGGUGUGUGCGUCUGCUUCUUAACCUUCACCAUUCACAGCCCUGUGCUCACUGCACCCUCUGGAUGAGCCAGUGGGCUGGGAAGGAAGCUUGGAGCCAACGUGACUAACAAUUUCUAAAUUCUCUAGGUGGCAAUUAUAGGGAAUAAAGAGAAAGGCAUAAUUUCAAAAC
ensembl:lncRNA